rnacentral:lncRNA from 1 species
ACAGAAAGGCGUGAAAUUCGUUAUAAAUUGAUGCGACAGUUCAAAGUUUUGUACUUUCCAGACCUGCAUAACGAAUUACCUAUUCGAAAAAUAGAAUAUGGUUGAAAAUUGCUGAUGUGAUAGAGGAUUCAAGUACCAUUUACAAACAAAAUAUUGAAGAGAAUGUGCUCAAAGGAAAUGCAUAUGAAUUCAUUUUUGUUGACCAGGAUGGAAAAAUUCUUUGGAACCCAUAGAUAGAAUAAGUUAGUUAGGCCUAGUGGUAUACCAGCCAGAAGUAGAGGAUGACAAAGAAAUCACUAUGAAUAAUAUUCCAUGGAUAUAAUUCAUGUAUGAUGUAGUAGCCUACAGA